ACAAGUGCUCGCUGUCUCCGUGUGGUGUCGUAGGUAGGAAGCCGGAGUCGAGAAAAGAAAAGGAAAAAAGGAUGGAAUUAUUUACUUUAAUAGGCUGGAGAUGGAAGGAACAAAGGCAGAUUCACACAUUAGUCACAGCCAAACUGGGGGAAUAUGAGAUGUGAAUUUUACGAAAGAACGCUAGAAAAAAUAAGAGUUCUACAAAAUCUUAAAUAUUCUUUUCACCAAAGCAAGCAUAAUUUAAGAAAAAAUGGAGAUUAUGUGCCAGGCAAAAUGCUGUGUAGUUAUUAGAUGCCAUCGUGGGAAGAGUGAGGGUUACAAGUGACGGUCCUGAAACGAGGUCACCCCUCCCCCUUGAGGGGACCCACACCAUCCAGCCAUUGCCUCCCGACCCAACCCUCCCAACUUCCUGUCUCCACUCAGCACUCCUGGCCCAGGAGACCUCCUACGGCCUUUCAAGGAAGCUCAUGGCACUCGGGAGGAAACAGCCCCUGAAGAUGGAGCCGGGCUCUGCCUUCUACCACCCUCGGGUCUCAUCUUGUAAAACUUCUUCCCUGGGUGCCCCCCCAUUAUGAGUCAUUGGCAUAAUGAGGGGUUUUACCUGUAACGAAUGAAAUGCGAUUGAGCUCAUAUUGGAAGUAUCUUAGUCUGCCGAAGUAAUUUUUCUGAUACGUCUACUUAAAAAAACAAACAAACGAAAUUGAGAAGAAACUCCGUCUCCUUUUGGGGCCAGAAUUCCGAAUUCCGAAUCCCGCUUGCUUCCCUCUUCCUCCCGUCACCUAGCUCUCUGGCCGUCCAGAGGAGCAGGCCGCAUGUCCCCAGGGGCACCGCUCACUUCCCAC
rnacentral:lncRNA from 1 species